ACCUCGGUAGCUAAGUUGUAAAAGCAGCAAGGCGUAAAUCUAAAAGUCCUGGGUUCGAAUCCCAGUCGAGUUC